rnacentral:rRNA from 1 species
AGAGUUUGAUCCUGGCUCAGAAUCAACGCUGGCGGCGCGCUUAACACAUGCAAGUCGAACGGGAAAGUGGAGCAAUCCAUGAGUACAGUGGCGUACGGGUGAGUAACACGUGGGUGAUCUACCUUUUAGUGGGGAAUAACCCUGGGAAACCGGGGCUAAUACCGCAUAAUCCCGAGAGGGGAAAGCAGCAAUGCGCUGAAAGAGGAGCCCGCGGCCGAUUAGCUAGUUGGCAGGGUAAGAGCCUACCAAGGCAGAGAUCGGUAGCCGGCCUGAGAGGGCACACGGCCACACUGGCACUGAAACACGGGCCAGACUCCUACGGGAGGCAGCAGUGGGGAAUCUUGCACAAUGGGGGCAACCCUGAUGCAGCGACGCCGCGUGAGCGAUGAAGCCCUUCGGGGUGUAAAGCUCUUUCGGCAGGGAAGAUGAUGACGGUACCUGCAGAAGCAGCUGCGGCUAACUACGUGCCAGCAGCCGCGGUAAUACGUAGGCAGCGAGCGUUGUUCGGAGUUACUGGGCGUAAAGGGUGUGUAGGCGGUUCUUUAAGUUUGGUGUGAAAUCUCCCGGCUCAACCGGGAGGGUGCGCCGAAUACUGAGGGACUAGAGUGCGGGAGAGGAAAGUGGAAUUCCUGGUGUAGCGGUGAAAUGCGUAGAUAUCAGGAGGAACACCGGUGGUGUAGACGGCUUUCUGGACCGUAACUGACGCUGAGACACGAAAGCGUGGGUAGCAAACAGGAUUAGAUACCCUAGUAGUCC